rnacentral:lncRNA from 1 species
AAGACCCUGUGCUGUACAGUUUGAAUACUGUGACACUGUGUGGGGCUCCGGUACCGCCGGCACCAGGGCUGGUUCUGCUGGGACCAGGGCGGUUCUGCUGGUACCGGGGUGGUUCUGGUGGUACCAGGGCGGUUCUGGUGGUACUGGUGGGGGUUCUGGUGGGACCAGGGCGGUUCUGAUGGUAUCAGUGGUCAUGGUACUGGUGGCGGUUCUGAUGGUACCUGCGGUACCGGUGGUGGUGCUGGUGGUACCAAGGAUGGUUCUGGUGGGGCCAAGGGUGGUUCUGGUGGUUCUGGUUGUACCGGUGGUGGUUCUGGUGGGCCCAUGGGUGGUUCUGGUGGUACCAUGGGGGGUACCGGGGGCGGUGGUGGUUCUGGUGGGGCCAAGGGUGGUUCUGGUGGUGCUGGUGGUGCUGGUGGUACCGGUGGUGGUUCUGGUGGUGGUUCUGGUGGGGCCAAGGGUUGUUAGGGUGGUUCUGGUGGCACCAGCAGUGGUUCUGGUGGUACCAAGGGUGGUUCUGGUGCUGCCGAUGUCGGUACCGGCAGUGGCUCUGCUGGCGGUUGUUGGUAUCGGUGUUGGUGCCGGUACCGGUGGUGGUUCUGCUGUUGGUACCGGUGUUGGUGCCAAUGUUGGUUCCGGUGGUGCUGGUACCGCAGCGUUGGUUCUGGUGUUGGUCGGUAGCGGUGUUGGUUCUGGUGUUGGUUCUGUUGGUCCCGGUGUCGGUACCAGCAUCUCCAUUGUGGGUCCCGGUGUCGGUACCGGUGUUGGUUCUGGUACUGCUGUCGGCACCGCUGUUUGUUGGGCUGUCGGUACCGGUGCCGGUUCUGCUGUUGGUGUCGGUUCUGUUCUGCUGUUGGUCCCGGUGCCGGUUGGGGCUUUGGUGGCAGCGCUGCUGGUGGAACCAACGCGGGUCCUGGUGUCGGUACCGGUGCCGGUCCUGGUCCCGGUUCGGUUCCGGUUCUUUGUGCCCACGCAGGCGGCGCCGUCCCCGGAACCACUCGGAACCACUCGGAACCCCCUCAGAACCCCCCCGGAACCAUUCAGAACCACUCGGAACACGUCGGAACCCCCCGGAACCACUCGGAACCCACUCGGAGUCCCCCGAAACAGCCCGGAACCCCUCGGAACCACUCGGAACCCCGUCGGAACCACUCGGAACCGUUCGGAGUCCGUCGGAACCGCUCGGAACCCGCUCGGAACCAUUCGGAACCGCCCGGAACCCCUCGGAGUCCCCCGAAACCAUUCGGAUCCCCCCGGAUCCCACUCGGAGCCCCUCGGAACCAUUCGGAGCCCCCCGGAACGACUCGAAACCCCUUCGGAACCGUUCGGAACCGCUCGGAACCGCUCGGACCCGGCCGGAAGCGGCUCCCCCCCCCCCCCCCCCCCCCCAACGAC